GCCUGGCGAACUUCAGUCCAUGGGGUCACAAAGAGUUGGACAUGACCAAGCAACUGAGCAUGCAUGCAUAUAUUCUAAAUAAAAGUCCAAUAUAUGUUUUCAAAUAUUUUCUCUCGAUCUGUGGCUUGCUUUUUCAUGUCCUUAACAGUGACUUUUGAAGAGUAAAAGUUUUUUUGUUUUGAUUAGGUCCAAUUAUUAACAUUUCUCUCUUAGAUAUUUUAUAGGGUUUUACAAGUUAUUCUUCUAAAAUUUUGAUACUUUUUUAUCUUUCAAGUUUUUAUGGUUUUUAACUUAUUGGCAUUAAAUUAUUCAGAACUCUCCCUUAUUUUAAAACUGUAUUUAUUUGGUUGUGCCAGGUCUUAGCUCAUUGUGGCAAGCAAGAUAUUUUCAGUUGUGCCAUGUGGGAUCUAAUUCCCUGACCAGAGAUUGCACCCAGGCCUCCUGAGUUGGGAGUGUGGAGUCUUAGCUACUGGACUGCCAGGAAGUCCCAGUUUUUGCUUAUCAGUCUUUUAAUAUUUGUGAAAUCUGUAUGAUGUCACCUCUCUCAUAGUAUUGGUAAUCUUUUAAUUUUUAUUUUUAUACUGCUAAGUUUUGCUAAAGGCUUACCAAUUUUAUUCAUAUUUUCACUGGUUUUUCUGUCUUGUUUUCUAUUCCUAUUUCUACUGCUCUUCUGAUCUAUAAUUUCCUUCUCAUCUGCUCACUCUUGGUUUAAUUUGUACUUUUUUUUUUUAAGUUUUUCAAGGUAGACACUGAAGACAUCAAUUUGAAAACUUUUUUUAAAACACCUAGGCCUUUAGUGCUAUAAAUUGCUCUUUACUGUUAGUGGCAUCUCACAAAUUUAGAAUGUUGGGUUAUUGUUUUCAUUCAUUCAUAUUUUCUAAUUUACUUUUUGAUCCAUGAGUUAAUUAUAAAUGUGUUAUUUAGUUUUCAAAAAUUGGGGAAUUUUCCCAGUAUGUUUCCAUCAUUGGUUUCCAAUUUAAUUUCACUUUGGUGAGAGAACCUACUUUUAACGUGAAUCCUUUUAAAUUUAUUAACUUAUUUUAUGCACCAAUAUAUUGUGUGACUUGGUAAAUGGUCUGUGUGCAUUUGAAAAAAUGAAUAUUCUACUAUUUGGGGGCAUUCUUUAAAUAUCAGUUAGAUCAAGUUGGUUUUCUUCUACAUCUUUACUGAUUAAUCUUCUACAUUUUUACUUACAUAUUCAAGUCUUUUACAUUGUCAGUGAUUUUAUCUUCUCUUGUUGUACUAAUUAUUCAGAGGGAGGUUUGAAAUCUCUCAGCCCGGUGAGAGCUCUGGGCACCCUUCCCUCCAAUCCCUUUAGGUGGUUCUUUCUUUGGCCUUUGGGAGUUUCCUCAUACACAUACACUGAUCAAUAUUCAACCAAAAAUUUAGGUGGGGACCCUCUCCUGAGCUCUGGAACUUUCUUUUUUUCCCCUUUAUUUUAUUAUUUUUCAAAUUGAAGUAUAACUGAUUUACAGUGAUUCAGGAAUACAGCAAAGUGAUAUAUGCAUACAUAUUUUUUCUUUUCAGAUAUUUCCAUUACAGAUUAUUACAAGAUGUAGAAUCCCUAGGCAGAUGGCCCUUGUUUAUUUUAUGUUUGGUCGUGUGUGUCCAUUGGUUCCCAGUUCCCAGUUUACCCCUCUCCCCCUUUCCCCUUUGGUAACCAAGAGUUUGUUUUCUCUGUGAAUCUAUUCCUGUUUUGUCAAGUUCAUUUGUGUCUUUUUUUUUUUAAGGUUCCACAUAUAAAUGAUAGAUUUGUCUUUGUCUGACUUCACUUAGUAUGGUCAUCUCCAGGUCCGUCUGUGUUGUUGGCAUCAUUUCAUUCUUUUUUAUAGCUGGAACUCUCUCUGUUUGAGAUCUCUGUUCUCCAGUACUCUGCCCUUUGAACUCUGGCUGCUCUGACUACCAAGACUUUCAGCUCUUUCAACUCAGAACUCAGCCUCUUUUUCUUUUCUUUGGCCCUGUGGGCUAGAAACUCUCCUAGUAGUAAGCUGGGGAAAUCGUAAGCUCUGCCUUAUUUUAUUCUCUCUCAGGAAUCACUGUGCAUCGUUAAGCAUGCCUGAUGUUUUCAAAACCACUGUUUCAUAUGCUUUGUCCAAUUUUAUAACUAUUUCAGGCCAGAGGAUAAAUCCAGUCUCUGUUACUCUGGACUGGAGCAGAAAUCCUAACAUCAGCUCUUGACUUCAUAACUUCUCCCACUCUCUGCCCAACGGCUAUCUUUUCUUUUUUUUUUAAAACAAAAACUCUCUCUUAAAUUUUAAAGUGGGAUUCUGUCACCUCCUAGCUUAACAGGCUUCAGUGGCCCCCACUGCUCCGGAAUAGCGCACAGCUCACACAGCCCUGCACGGUGUGUUUCACACUCCCCUCUUCAGCUUUAUGAAUGAAUGAAAGUCGCUCAGUCAUGUCCGACUCUUUACGACCCCAUGGACUCUACAGUCCAAGGAAUUCUCUAGGCCAGAAUACUGGAGUGGGUAGCCUUUCCCUUCUCCAGGGGAUCUUCCCAACCCAGGGGUCGAACCCAGCUCUCUCUCACUGUAGGUGGAUUCUUUACCAGCUGAGCCACAACUCCGCCUCUUGCUCUUUGACCUCUAGCUUUAUUACUCUGGUCUCUGGUGCCUCAGGGCCUUUGCAUAUGCAUAUGCUAUUUCUUCUCUUCCCAUAUCUCUGCCAUCUCUAGUUGGAUAACUCUCACAUCCCCCUCAAAGAAGCCCUCCACGGCAUCUCCAACUGGAAUGUUUUCCUGCCGUCCUUUCCCAAAGCUCUCAGUUCUUUUAUUCUACUUUCCUUUUCACUGAUUGUAUUACAUCUUUGCAUUGUAUUCCUUCAUUGCAUUGUAUUACAUCAGCAUUGCACUUCUCUGCUGGACUUUAAGCUCCAGAGGACGGCAGAUAGUGUCUGCAUUGUUCUCCACUGCAGCUCCAGGAUCUGGCACAGAGCUCCAUACAGGGCAAUGAGUAAGUGAAUAAAGAAGGAAAAGCACAGUGGAGGCUGUCCACAGCCCCUCAGCCUUCCCCUCCAGCCCUGGUACAAUGAAAGCUUCUUAAGAAAAGUGCCUGGGAUUCUCCAUCUGAGGUCUUUCUCCACAGAUGUGGGGCAGAAGGAGGUUCUGAGACUCCUAGAAGCAGUUCCUGCAAAAUGGACAGGAGGUGAAGAAUAAAAGCCUCCGUUCACACCCCACUCACACAAGAUGACUGGGAGGCAGAUUCUCCUCAGUCUCCAGAGCUCGCCAGUAGGACCCAGCCACUGAUUCCCACAGCGGUGGUGUGAUUAAUAAUUCCCCCAUAUUAUUUUUGUUACCUCCCUGUAUCAUUUCCCCAACCCUUGGCUGGAUCUUCCUAGUAUCUUCUCUCAAACUGCUUUCCCUCAAAUUCUUAUUUUGGGGGAACCCGACUUAAGAGAAUGAUACAGCCAAUGAAGAUCAUAGGGGAGUGACAGAUUCCCAUACGUGGGGAUGAUCCAAAUCAUCUAUGCAGCAUCCAGUGUGUUCCCUGGGCUUCAGAAGUCUGACAUUGGAGAAGGAACAAAGGAGGGAGCUCUCUGUGCAAACCCUAUAGGCAGGAGUGGGAAACGAGCAGGCUGUAUUGGAUUUCCUUCCCUGCCCCAGGAAUGGAAUGACUUUUCUGCUCCAACAAGCUGUCUUUGAUUUGUUUCAAGAAUUCUCCUCCCUCAUCUUCAGGAACGAUCUCCCUUCUGUGAGCGUGAUGAUCCUUCACGUGCCAGUGAGACAGAUCACCUGCCCUUCAGGUCACGUUGCUAACGUCAGCCUCAGUACUCUUCCUGCUCUUGCAAAAUGUCUCUUUCACAAGCCAGGAUCAACUUCUUGACAGAAGAACAAAAUAUGGAACACAUUUAUUAUCGGGCCUCCCAUAAUUGUAUAAACUUAACACCAAGCGACCUGGAGAAGGAAGUGGCAGCCCACUCCGGUAUUCUUGCCUGGAGAACGUCAUGGACAGAGGAGCCUGGGGUCCAUGGGGUCACAAAGAGUCGAACACGACUUACCACUGAACAACACGAAGCGCAACUGCACUUCUCCGGGAGCAAACUACAACUCCCAGGAUCCCCCGGGUCGAAGGAGCCGGCACCCAUCGGACGCAAACUGCAAUUCCCAGAAUUCCGCGAGCCAAGGAAGCGGUCCGGCCUCGGGCUGAGGCGGCGGGACCGGCGAGCCUGCGCACGUGCACAGCUGACGCGAGGGGCUCGCCAGCUGGGCAGGCGCACGUAGGGCACCUGCGAGCCGGGCGAGGGUGACGGACCAGACGGCGCGCAGGAGCCUGCGCUCCCUUCCUGGACCUCCACGGCUCCGAGCAGGCGUCUGGGGCAGCGGCGGGCACGGGUUCGGCCAAAGCCAGCUCCGCGGAGGGCCGGCCUGGAAGCUUCAGCCCUGUGGAGCCCGGGCUGUAGGGUGCAGCAGAUAUUUGACUUAUAAUCAGAAAGACAUCAAGCUAUUUCUCCAAAAGAAGUACCUGUGGUGAGGAUUCAGAUCUAAGAAGAGUGAGCCCCCAGAAGGGUGGGCAGGUUGCAUGAGGAGCCCCGGAAACCCUGGACGUGAAAGCAGCUACCAGAAAAUGUAGCAUUUUAUCUAGGGCUCAUAUUCUAUUUCUACUGGAUGGCACUGAGUCAGUAGAGAGAAAACAGCCCUUUGGUUGGAGAGAACAAGGACCCAGAUCUGGAGGAGACUUUGAAGCAAACGGGAGCUCUUUUCUGGAUUUCCGUCCCAUAUAGGAAGGAAAAUCUGCUUCAUGGGAGAAAGGAGAAGGGAAAGUAACACACUAGGAUGAGGACAGGCAAGUAUAGCCUGGGGCUGGGUCUCAGGGGACAGAGGGAACAAAGAGAGGAUGGGAGGGAGGCCCAGGAACAGGCAGGAGCCGGAGACCAGGGAGGCAGAUGGCCGAGGAGGGGCGACCCGAGCCCCUGGGGCAGGGUCGGCAGUAAGUUUUCCAGCAGUGAAGUGAGGCUGAUAAAUAUUAAAUGGGUAUUCUUUAAAAAUUAGAAACAAUCUUUAUUUUAUAUUGGAGUAUAUAGUUGAUUAAUAACCUUGUGUUAAUUUCGGCUGUAUAGCAAAGUGAUUCAGUUACACAUGUACACAUAUCUUUUCUUUUUUUCACAUUCUUGUCCCAUCUAGCUUAUUACAGAGUGAUGAGCAGAGUUCCCUGUGCUAUACAGUAGGUCCUUAUUGGUUAUUAAAUGGAUUCUUGAUCUGUGCUGUCUGUCAUACGCCUCUGCUGUCCCUGCACCCCAAGGACAGACUGUGGGUGGGGGUGUCCCCACUCGGAAAGCAGGGCUGGGUGAGGACAUGAAGUGUGCAGGCAAUGGCCUGAAAGCCCGAGGUGAGGAGGGAAGGUGAGGAGCAAGGGUGCUGGCCGAGGGGUCAGGCGAGUGCCAGGACCCUGUGACAGGCACCCAGAAAUCCUUGGAAGGAUCCCCAGGAGCAGGGGUCCCCAACCUCUGGGCUGUGGACUGGCACCUCCUGUCAGAUCAGUGGCAGCAUUAGAUGAUUAUUAGAAAUAAAGUGCACAAUAAAUGUAAUAUGCUUGAAUCAUCCCAAAACCACCCCCUCCCAGGUCCAUGGAAAAAUUGUCUUCCUUGAAACUGGUCUCCACUGCCACAAGGGCUGGGGGCCUCUGCCUAGGAGCACUGGACUGCUGUCAGGGAGGUGCAAAGCUGAAGAUUCUCAUUUGGUUUGAAGGGAAGGGCCACCCCAGCUGGUUGGCCAACACUGGGGACCCCUCACCAUGUGACAUGGGGCAUUUGUAAUACCUUCCAGGGUGCUGGGUAGCUGGCAGCAGAAAAGUUUGUUAGCAGUACUGACUGGGAAGGUGAGGAGGUGGGACCAAGCUAUGCUAGAAGCUACCUCAGUGAAUAGCGUGGAAAGAUCUCUGGUCUCGGGCUUGACGCCUGCAGGCGUAGGGCUCCCCGUGGUCCCCAGCCCUGGCGAAUGGCACACUCCCAUUGGUCCCCUCACCCCCAGAAGACUACACUUUUGUCAUCCUUGUCACUAAUGCUUCCUCAGCUCUCCAGAUUGAUUUUUCCUUUUGUUUCCUCUGGAGCCCCUGACGAACACCAGAAUGUACCAUACGUUCACAUCUGUGCACUUAAGGGAGAAAGCAGAGUGGAGAUAGGCAUUUGGACUUACAGAAAGGAAUCCUGGAAAGUUUCCCAGAGCCUAGAGCGCCUUAUUCCUGAUCUCCACCCUGAACUCCUCUCAGGGUGUGUUGAAGGUCAGUGAUGGCAGGGGCGGGUGACUCAACCCCCACACAGCUGGAUGGCGGGCCACCUGCUUUGGUUGGCGGAAUUGGCUCAAUCCCGUCUAGGCCUUUCACCGAGGACGCUCCAGAUCUUGAGCGAGAGGAACUACAGCACCGCACCCCCUCUGCCACAGCCAGGUACCACCUGCCUCUCUCCCUCCUCCUGUCCUUCCAGGGCUCUGGCUUCAGCCACCGGUGUCCUUCCACCAGGAGAGAUCACAGAACCAAAUCACACAAGUGGAAGACGGUGGGGACCAGCCCCCCAAGCCAGCACCGUCCAGAGACAGCUUCCACCUUGCUUGCUCCAGCUUUGACAGGUGCUGUUCAGUCUGUGGUUUUUGCCACUGGAAGUCUCCAAAAGGCCCGGCAAGACCCAUUCCUCUGGCUCACUUGCCAUGUGAAACACCCCAGGCAUGUGGCCAGAGCUUGGAAAAUGUCCCCCCACACCCUUCUCUAUGUCUGACCCCAGGGCCUCACCCCCAGGUGAGGGUGACAGAGAGCCCAGAACCACACCCAGGGAGGACCUCAACCGCACGUAGAGAGCUUUGACCUUUGCUAUUUCCCAUCGGCUUUGUGGACUCAUCAGAGGGACCAGCUGGGGAACAAAACUGCAUUCACCGGAACUUGGCACUGGUUCCCUCAUUAAUCCGCCAAGUCACAGUUAUGGGGCAGGGAGGGGCCGAGUGCUCUGACAGCCUUUCAGCCGCAACAGUGGGUAAUGACCCGCCAGUGUUGUGCGUGAGUCACGAGCAGAGUGAGGUCUGGACUCGGGUGCAGCAUCUCCUCGCCCUCACCGGGCACCCAGGUCUAGAGGACGCCCUUCCCUCCCUUCACGUGACUCCUGACUUCCUUUGGGGAGGCAGGUAUAAUGGACACACAGAUCGGCCCAGCAGCUACAUAAGCGGUGUGACCUCAAGUUCAAAGCCAAAGGUCUUCCUUCUGCCGCAGGACCACAACCCCCCAGAUGGUUACCUUUGUCCCCCUUUAGGGGAUGGGCACAUCUCCUGGCAGCUCUGGCAAAAGUGAGCACCUGGUCUAGACGCUUGGGAAAUACUGGGUGAGGGCAGCCUGUGCGUCUCUGAAGCAAUGUCCCUGGGCCUUGCUCAGACGUCCCCCUCUCCAUUCAGGUAGCAGCCAAGGUUAGUUCAUAAGUCAGCUAAGCCCUGGGCAGAGGCUGGCGUGGGUCUGUUUUACUUGGGUGGCAAGGAAUCACAGACCGCCUCUGGAGAGGCAGGGCCUGUCCAUCUCAGAGGCAGAUCCAAGGGCAGGAGGGAUCCUCAGCUGAGGCCAGGCUGUGGAGAGAGCUGGGGGGUGGCGGGGGGAGCCCCUCCACAAGGACUGAGGAGACACGGGGCCCCAGACUCAUGCUGAGCUUCGGGGGAAAGCCUUGUCCCCUUGUUCCAUCAGCUGCCCCAUUUACCUUGUGCCAGACUCAGGGCAAAACCGUCUUCACGUGAAUUCAGUUUCCACAUGGACAUCUAACGCUCAGCGAGGUGAACUGCCCAGAAACAGUUGAGCUGGAAUUUGAGCCCUUAUCUGCCUGGAGCCUAACUGUCCCCACUUUCCAGAACAUUCCCUCACAUUUAGCCACAGAUCUGAGCAGGUUUUGGGGAGAGAGGGAGAGAGGAGGAAUGAAGGGGGCCAGCUCAGAGGCAGAGAGGAAAUGGCGAGGUCCAGGCUUAGCGGGAAAUCCUGGUCACAUCCACAAACGCCAUUAGCACAGAAACGGAACCAUUUUAAUGUCAAGGCCCGAUGCACUCCGCCCCCCUCCUGAUGGCCAGGGUAGAAUACAUUUUCAGCUGGCCUUUAAAUUACAUGUUCUUUCAGCAGCUGGAGCCUGCUGAAAGACCUGGGAAGCCUGGGAAGACCCAGAGGUCUUCCUAAAUUAAGCCUUUGAAAUAAAAAUAAUGAUAAUUUCAGGUAACAAAGCCAAUAUGCUUCUAGAAGUAUAUUGUAACUAGAAGUCUCUUGACCUCUGAGGCCCAUACUGUUCUUGCUCGCCUGGCCCCUGCUUUUAGUGGACUUGCUGGAAGGAGCUCCAGAGAAGAGGGGACGUCCUGAUAAAGUUUGGGCCGGCAAAUGCAGAGGAGGGAGGCAGCCUGAGCAGAAGCUGAUGGCCACACAUCUGGCAGUGCCUGCCAAGUCCCUGGACAGUCAGCUUCAUCAGGCUCUUCUGCGUUCCCUGUGGGCUUCCUCUGCCAGGGGCUCACGGAGCAUUCUGGAGCUGUGUCCACUUGGUGGUGUAGGACUCGCCUCCCCGCUCCAAAGUUCCCUAGGGAAACUUCCCAUGCAAAACAAGCUGAAAAUGCCUGCCAAUCACUGGGACAGUCUCUUCCAGCUCUUUCUUGCUGGGUGACCUUGAGCAGGUUACUUAACUUCCCUCCUGUUUUCUUAUCUGGGAGAGGAAUAGGACACCAGCAUAACCUACCCCCUAGGGUCGUGCUGGGAGUAUAGUGUUGUCAGCAGAGUUUACAGAUAAGGACUUAAACAGGACAAACACCUUUGCCCAAGGUCAUGGAGUGUAGUGGCCAGGGCUUGAAGACACCUGGGCCUGCUCCAGGCACGGUUAGGAGUCAGGCCACACCUCCUCCCAGAAGCCCUUCAGGCCUGAAUUUCUAUCCCUGACCUCUGCUUAGGUUGUUUGGGAUUGAAACCGGGGCCACACUUAGUCAUGCUCCCAACUCCCAUGUGGGUGGGUGGACCUUUACUGUUGUUCAUCAGCAGUUGGUGGGCCCAGUAGGGAGUUUGGCCGGAGAAGUUAUACCGAGGAAACUGAAAUGUGAGAACAAGAUUAGAAACGGGGUUGGAAUGCUUGGGCCCGGGCAGGGAGGGACACAUGCCCCCAGGAACGCCUGUGUUCUCCCUGGCCUUUGAGUCGCCUCCUGGGGGGACAGGCCCCAGGCAUGGCGACGGGGGAGGCAGGCACGCGGGGCCCACACGUGGGUGACUGAGCCCGGCCGGUCCUCAGGGAUGUGAGCUCGUUUAAUCUCCACAGCAACCCUAGGAGAUGCUGAUCAGUGUGCGUUUUACAGACCGGGAAGCUGAAGUCCAUUAAAUAAGGUUCUCAGAACCAAGGAAGAUUUAGCCCCGGUCUGCCGGGCCCAGAGGCUCUGGGUGACAGCUGUCCUCGGGUAGCAGUGAUCUGCACUUGCCCAGCCUGGGUUCCUUCCCAUGGCGAAAGUCUCAUAACGCUUUGACCCAGAGGCUCAGGGAAACUGAGGCAGAGCUGGGCUUCCAGGAGGCAAGGGAUUGAAGAGGAAGGAAAGAGGGAGACAGAAAAGGAAGAGGAACAGAAAGAAGUGAUCGAAACAGGGAAUUCAAAGCUCUCUCUCUACAGCCCACUGAGGCAACGCAUGAGAGGCAGCUGGAAGCAACAGCAAACAACGUUGCAACUUGCUACCUGCUCGCAAAACAAGAAGACAGACCUGUUCACCAGCCACAGGAACGGCUGCUUUCCUUUAUCCUUUCUCUGGGGGCUCAGAGAUGGAUAAGCUCAGGAGAGAAACAUGAGCAGUUGGUAGGAGAUGGUGGGAGACUUGGGCUGGGGGAGAGCAGGCAGCCCAGAGCAGAGCUGGGUCAGAUUCAUUCAGACCCAGGGGGACCUGCAGACUCUGGCUGAUGGGAUAAGGCCACGACACACACAGACAGGAUGCGGGGUUGGGGUCAUCCUACCCAGGCCUCCAUCCUGGGUCCUCCUCUCUGCAACCCAAAGCUGGGACCCUCGCACCCCACCCCCUCAGGGUCCCCGCACUCCCUGCUGGCUCGCAUUCUAGCUCUGACCUUGAUUAGACCAAUGAAAGACACUGGGAUUGCCUUGACCAGCUCCCGCAUCCCUUUCAGGUAGAGUAGGAAGGUAGGUAGGAAUUUUGUUGCAGUCCUCAGCAGGUUUACUACUUGUUUCUGUGUGACUUUAUAUCUGCCCAAAGGGUUUAGAAGCCUCACAGGGCUCCCUGGAGGACUGGUCAGGCCCUGGCAGGACCUCACUGCCACCUCAUUGUCCCAGAUGGAGACCAGGAAGAGCCGGCCUGAGA